rnacentral:rRNA from 1 species
GGACGAACGCUGGCGGCGCGCCUAACACAUGCAAGUCGAACGAGCGAGAGAGAGCUUGCUUUCUCGAGCAAGUGGCGAACGGGUGAGUAACGCGUGAGGAACCUGCCUCAAAGAGGGGGACAACAGUUGGAAACGACUGCUAAUACCGCAUAAGCCCACGGGUCGGCAUCGACCAGAGGGAAAAGGAGCAAUCCGCUUUGAGAUGGCCUCGCGUCCGAUUAGCUAGUUGGUGAGGUAAUGGCCCACCAAGGCGACGAUCGGUAGCCGGACUGAGAGGUUGAACGGCCACAUUGGGACUGAGACACGGCCCAGACUCCUACGGGAGGCAGCAGUGGGGAAUAUUGCACAAUGGGGGAAACCCUGAUGCAGCGACGCCGCGUGGAGGAAGAAGGUCUUCGGAUUGUAAACUCCUGUUGUUGGGGAAGAUAAUGACGGUACCCAACAAGGAAGUGACGGCUAACUACGUGCCAGCAGCCGCGGUAAAACGUAGGUCACAAGCGUUGUCCGGAAUUACUGGGUGUAAAGGGAGCGCAGGCGGGAAGACAAGUUGGAAGUGAAAUCCAUGGGCUCAACCCAUGAACUGCUUUCAAAACUGUUUUUCUUGAGUAGUGCAGAGGUAGGCGGAAUUCCCGGUGUAGCGGUGGAAUGCGUAGAUAUCGGGAGGAACACCAGUGGCGAAGGCGGCCUACUGGGCACCAACUGACGCUGAGGCUCGAAAGUGUGGGUAGCAAACAGGAUUAGAUACCCUGGUAGUCCACACCGUAAACGAUGAUUACUAGGUGUUGGAGGAUUGACCCCUUCAGUGCCGCAGUUAACACAAUAAGUAAUCCACCUGGGGAGUACGACCGCAAGGUUGAAACUCAAAGGAAUUGACGGGGGCCCGCACAAGCAGUGGAGUAUGUGGUUUAAUUCGACGCAACGCGAAGAACCUUACCAAGUCUUGACAUCCGUUGACCGCUGUAGAAAUACAGUUUUCCUUCGGGACAGCGAGACAGGUGAUGCAUGGUUGUCGUCAGCUCGUGUCGUGAGAUGUUGGGUUAAGUCCCGCAACGAGCGCAACCCUUAUGGUCAGUUACUACGCAAGAGGACUCUGGCCAGACUGCCGUUGACAAAACGGAGGAAGGUGGGGAUGACGUCAAAUCAUCAUGCCCUUUAUGACUUGGGCUACACACGUACUACAAUGGCGUUAAACAAAGAGAAGCAAGACCGCGAGGUGGAGCAAAACUCAGAAACAACGUCCCAGUUCGGACUGCAGGCUGCAACUCGCCUGCACGAAGUCGGAAUUGCUAGUAAUCGUGGAUCAGCAUGCCACGGUGAAUACGUUCCCGGGCCU